UUCUUAAACUUAAUUUAAAUUUAAAUAUUAAUUAUUAUUUUUAAUUAUAUAUAAAAUUUAUUUAAAUAAAUCAAAAAACUUAAUAUAAAAAAUUAAUUAUUAAAAAAAUUUUUAAUUAAAAAAAAUUAUAAUAUAAAUUAAAAAUGUGCCAGCAAUUGCGGUUAAACAUUUUAUACAAAUUAAUAUCUAUUUUAAUUUAAAUAAUAUAAAUAAAAAUAAUAUAAUUAAAAAUAAAUUUAUAAUUAAAUAUUAAUUUAUUUAAAAAUAUAUUUAACUAAUAAUAUAAUUUACAAAUUUUUAAAAAAACUAGGAUUAGAUACCCUAUUAUUAAAACUAAACAAUCUAAUUAAAAAAAUAAAUAAUAUUUUAUUAUCUAAAUUUAAUAAAUUUGACAGUAUAAUUAAUUUUUUAAAGGAAUAUAUUUUUAAUAGAAAAUAAACUAUAAAAAUUACUUAAAUUUAUGUUUGUAUAUUGUUGUUUUAAUUUAAUUUAAAAAUAAAUAAUUUAAAUUUUUUAUAAAAUAAAAAUUCAAAUCAAAAUUCAACUAAUAUUUAAGAAAAAAAGUAUUACAUUAAAAUAAAAUAUAAUUUAAAAAUUUUAAUAUUUUUAAAAAAAAGAAUUUAAAAUUAAAAUUAAUUAAAUUUAUUAAUUUUAAAAAAAAUUAAUAUAUGUACAUAUUGCCCGUCACUUUCAAAAUUUUGAAAUAAGUCGUAACAAAGUAAAAUUACUGGAAAGUAAUUUUAGAAU
rnacentral:rRNA from 1 species